CCCCCCCCCCGCUUCUCCUUUCCUAGAGGCUGGAUAGGAUACUUGGCAGAAUUCAGUAGGAAGGGGAGUGGAGGCUGUUUGCAAAUUAAACCGGAAACAAAGAUGCCAAACAGUCCAUUUAAAGGGCCCUUGAAGCUCUCACCUGAGAUGCCUGUUAUACGUUCCUCCUCCAGCUUUGCUGAAGGACGAUGUUUUAAGCAGCUCUUCCUCCUAAAGAAGUUAUCAGCUUGGGUUUAAAUUACCUCUUGGGAGGUAAAUCCUCAACUAGAGGCAACCCUGAAUCAUCGGAACAUGUUGGGGUCAGACACCUUCAGAUAAGCAUCAGUGCAACAACAAGAGAGCUUUCUUACAGCAAAAUGGAAAUUUAGACCAAGAGACACAAAGUACCGGGAAAAAACAGAAGAAACCUGGUGUGGUGAGUAGAGAAGGAACGAGUUUUCGGGGAAACUGUUCUUACUGGCUAAUCACAGUGAUGGAGUCAGUUGUCUGUCUGCCAAGUGUUCGACGGUGCUCCUAAUUCACUGAGGGGAACGGUUCAUGUUUAACUCAAGUCAAAACAUAGAGAUAGGGUAGGAUUUUCUUAUUUUCCAUGUUUGUGGAUGAAACAUCUGGAAUAAGGCUAAUCAUUUUAUCAGUUUGGGGGUGUGUAAGAGCAGAGACACUAACAGAAUAAAAUAGAGCUCCCAGAGUUUUGUCGUCCAGGGAACGUUACAAGAAUCUUCUCUUUCUUCACCCAGUUCACCACUGAAAGUGAACACGUACUCAAAUACCUCAGGGACGCCUAACAGCUGAUCAACCUAAUUCCACAACUGUCUUAUUAACUUAUAACUUUUAAGUAUGUAAAUAUUCUGUACGUGCAUACAAUACAGAUAUGAGUGAGUGUGGAGCAGAUUUUGGAAAUGUUCAGUUCUUUUAAUGAGAAAGAGAAACUAGUUUAUAAAUCUCACUUGUCAGACCCAUGUAGGAGGGAUAUUUUGUUUUUCUCCUAAAAACAACAUUUUCUUUGUAAUAUGGAAAAUAUAGAAAUAUGGACUAUUUCCUUGCCAUAUGAAAUAAUAUGGAAAAUAAAGAAGCUAUGCUCUUGAAUAUACUAUUUUCAUAUGACAUUUGGUUUCUCGUUAAUAGAAUAAUGGUGUAAUAAAUAGUAGACUAAGGUUAGCUAUUAAAAGUGCAAGGGAAAUAUCUCAUUUAUAUAUUUGUAAAUUAAAACCCCAAGGAGAAAUGAUGGAGAGCAUAUUGGUUUGGAAAGCACAAAUCUCCUUUAUCCCUCAGUUUCCUCUUUUCUGAAGCCUCAGAUUCUUCCCUCUACCAAGAGUCAGGCAUUGGAACCCACAACCAUUCCUGCCUUUAACAAGGCGAAAAUCAGACUAUGAAGCUGGACCAAAGGACAUAGGCAGAAGGAACUGGCUGUCAGUUUCUUACUUGGGUGAGUUCUAACACGGCAAUAAGGUUUCUUUACCAAGACUUCCUCUCUCCCCACAUCUCUUUACGCACUAAAACUUCGAACCCUCAUCUCAUCUCAGGGAGGUCUCUGUGCCUUCAUCAUCCUGCCUUGGAGCUUUCUGUAGACUAUCUGUUUUGCUAGGAAAUGCCCUACUGUGCAAGUCACUAACUCUUUUUCUUUCUGCAGAUGAUUUCAGUUACAGAAUUCCUACCUUGCCUUUCCCUAACUGAUGGAAUACAAGUAAAGAAUUCACCUGGGGCCGUCCUAUCUAAAGCUGCAACUAAACUUAACUCCUUCUUUCAGAAGGCAGUAUGAUAGAGUGGAAAGAACAUGGACUUGGGAAUUGAGCAAUCCUUGGUUUGGAGGGAAAAAACUGAAUGUUGGUUGCCACAUGAAUUGUGUGAAAUUACUUUUAGCUUUGGUCCCUUAGAGCUUCAUCUUGAGAUAAUACCGUCUACCACAUGUGAUUAAUAUGAGUAUUAAAUGCAUGAAUAAUGUCUGAUAGGCACUGAAUAGAUAUAGUCCCUACUCCAUUCCACAGAAGGCACUUGUCUUUUUUUUUUUUUUUUUUUUUCGGUGAGGAAAAUUGUCGCUGAGCUAACACUCUCCUUUUCAGGACUUUGCCUUAUAAAUCUAGCCGUCUUGGUAUCCUCGGACUUUGAUGUUGUUCUCUUCACCUCAGUAGGAGUGUCAGGUUCCUUGGGUUCCCUUUCCCCUGCAGUAUGGCCUGAAGUUGGCUCUAAACGGUAAGCUAGGAGAUCCUAAAGCUCAUCUCAUUUGUUUCCUUUCUCUCAAUGAUGACAGUCCUAUGCUGCCUAUUGUCAAAUGUCUGAAAACCAUUGUUUCAUCUGUUUUAUCAAGUUUAUAUUGAAGGGUAAUUCCUGUUGCUGCUAAUUCUUCUUGGUCAAAGGAGAAAUCUGCCAGUCUCCUGUAGACUUACUCUAAUAAGCUUGUGCUCCACCAUUCUGCUGAAACUCUUUGCAUCAAGGCCACCAAUGAUCUCCAGAUUGUGAAAUCUAAUAUACCUGUAUUUAAGAUUCACAAAAGACUGUUAACUCUCCUCCAGAACUCAUGAAACUACUAUUGAUGACACAAGUAGGGCAACAUGCAAGAGCACUAAGUGAACUAUGUAGUAUUUUAAGUCUAAAGAAAAUUAGUCAUGGAUUCUCAAGACUUUCUCAGCACGAGGCUCACCUGGGUGAGAUGCAAUUUGUUUUAAGAUGCACCCAGGAUUUUGUUUUUAUUCAGGUGUGGUGAGGACAACAGAUCACGAGACACUUGCCAGAUACCUUGUUAAGCACUGUUUCCAGGAGAAGGGGGAAUGCCUCGUCACCCCGGGCCACAUGGGGAAGUGGCAGGGUCAGUCAGAAGGAGUGAGGGGAAAGCACGGGCAAGAGCCUUUAUUGUGGUUUUUGUGGGAAGGAAUCUGCAACACAGGGUAAGCAGCUGGUCAGGCAUAGGAUUGGAUAGUUUGAAUAAUUUCAGUAGGCUCUGGGCUAUAGGGGUGGCCCCUAGUUGUCCAGUACCUGGCCCUAGAGCGAAUAGGGCAGAGGAGUAUGCCUCCUGGAGCAUAAAAAUCAGAUGAGGAGGUGGUUUGGAGUACGGGCUCUGGAUUGGUUAGUUUGCAUGUGGAAGGUGUGCUUGCAGCCAAGUUGUUUGCUCUCUCUAGGAAUUAGCUAACCCUGGGAGGGCCAGUCCCUCCACUGUCCACAAGGCCCCAAGAUAGCAAAGCAUCAUAAAAUACAGAUAAUAAAAAAUAUUAUUAAUAGUCAAGAAAUAAGAAAAUGACCCACCUCACAGAGAUUUCCCUUCAUUGGGGAAUGAGAGCGGGCAGAUACAAUGAUUCCAGGAGACUCUGGGGCAGGCACGGGUCGAGGGGCCAGGCAUCAGAGCCAUUGCAGUGCGUUGGUCCCCGUCUUCUCUCAGCUGGGUUACUGCAGUCUCCUCCUUGCUUCUAGUUGUACUUUCCUUCUCCACGCUGUAUUCAGUGAUGUUUAUAUGACACAUGUCUGAUCUUAGCGCUCACCUGUUCAACACUCUGCAGUGGCACACCUCCAAUAAAGUGAGCCAUGUGAAUUUUUUGGUUUCUCAGUGCAUAUAAAAGUUAUGUUUCCACUAUACUGUAGUCUAUUAAGUCUCCAAAAGCAUUAUGUCUAAGAAAACAAUGUACAGACCUUAAUUUAAAAAUGCUUUAUUGCUAAAACUGCUAACCAUCAUCUGAGCCUUCAGCAAGUCAUAAUCUUUUUGCUGGCGGAGGGUCUUGUAAAAAAAAUGCAAUAUUUGCAGAGCGCAAUAAAACGAGGUGUGCCUGUACUUGUAGAAUCAGCCCAAACUUCCUAACAUGGAAGAUAGCUAUUAUUGAGUCGCAUUUCUUGCCAUGAGCCACUCCCUCCUCCCAAUGCCCUACCCUCACCGAACCCCUCCCCGCCAUGCACACAGUUCCACAGCACAGGCAGUUAUACUGAAUUUCCCCCACUUCUUUAAAGACAUCAAGCUCUUCUUUCUAGUGCUUCACCCUUAUUCCUUCUUGUUCAAAGGAUGCUUCAGACCUUGGUUGAAGCAUAGCCUCCUCAGAGAGGUUUCUCCUGACUGUCCCCCAAUCCAGGUCGGCCUCGGGGACCCGCUCAGUCUUCAUGGCACUCUCUGCUUCCCCAUCACAGCUCUAACCACACUUCUAUAAAUGCCUAUUUACUCCUCUCACUUGCCACGAGGACAGGGACCAUGUAAAUUGUGUUCGCUCUUGUAUUAUCAGCACCUAGUACGAUGCUUGGCACAUGACAGUCUUUCAGGAAAUGUGUGAAAAUGUGUAUGAAUGAAUGAAGCCUCAAAGCUUGAGACCCAGGCCUGGGCUGGGCAGAGAGGAGAUUGAGGCAUUCCUGGAGGGGUCUGAGCUGAGACACUGAGUCAGGCUUCUAACGUUUUUUCCGCUGAGAUGAGUGGGGUUGGGCCUGGGAUAGGGAGAUCAUAAACCUCCAUUCCUGACCUUAAAUUAGAACCAAACUGGUGUCGAGGGGAAGAGGAAAAGCAGAUAUACCAUUUUCUUGGGAAAUUUCUUCUCAGUAAUUUCACUCUAGGUCAUUUAGUUCUUUAUGCCCAAACAAGUUAAUGCAGCCGUCAGUUAUAGUAAGAGCUCUGAUCUUAAACUGGUUUAAAAUGAGGACCGGGAUGACGACGCUCAACAGAAGAAGAUGAGUCUUAAGAAAUCCAGUGUUGUUGAAAAAUAAUAAAAUUCUAACACUUUAUAAACUUUGUGAUAUUCCUCUUUAAUUUCGGCAUUAGAUAGAGGUGAUGAAUAUUACAUCUCCAUUUUGCUGAACCUAUAACAUAAGCCGCAUUUUCCAGAGAAAGAUAAUUAAAUUUAUAAAAGAUUUGAGAAAGAAAUCCCCAAAAGCUAAAGAAAACUUUUGGGAGGAAAAGAAGUUACUCAAAAACCUACAAAGGAAAAAGAGAUGAGAGGAAGGUGUGGAGGUGUUGAGUGCCUAUCGUCCAUUUGAUUGAGGUCCAGACUGGAGGAACUGGCCCGAAAUUGCAGCAGGAUGCAUCAGGCUGGACAGCAGGGAGAGGGAGCGACCUCAACUCUCUUUCUCUCUGAAUACACACACACACGCACACACACACACGCACACACACAGACCAGUUUAUACCUGAUUUGUUUAAAAGCAGCUCCAUUCAAAAGAGAAGAGACUAUCCCAAACCACAUUCCAAAGCAACUUCAAGCAUUAAAUAAUGGAUUUUUUUCUUCCUCUAGCAGUUUCUUUUGCAAAAGAAGAGGACGCUACACGGUUUGAUUUCUCUUGUUUAGAGCUUUGUCAGCAUUGUUUGUUCCACUUCAAGAAGACAUUUUCAGAAGUUGUGAAAAUCACCGAUAACAUCAACGCCAUCAUCAGAAAAGCAGCCACCUGCCCACUGCGAAUUAUAGACGUGAUAAACCAGGGACUACAUGCAAAUGGGCGAGGAUGUGGCCCACUCCCUGAAGGAUGAACGCUCUCUGCAAGAGAAACCCCAGCACUGAAAUUCCUGCCUGCCGAAGGACCCUCCAUCCUGGGCAACUGACAGCUGGUCACCCUACAAAAGAUAUCUUGUCUCUUAGAACCUAAGGCAAACUGUAACAAUAACAGAAAAAAGGGUGAAAUUAUUGAGCCAUAACUUCCUUGAGGCCUCUAAUGUGAAGAAUCUUUAUCAGCUUGAGGAAUUUCUAAUACUUUUAAUUUUCAGCAGCACUAUGUGAAAAAUUGAGUAGGGGUCCCUGUAGAGAAGAUCAGAAAAGCGUAGAUCUGGAAUUGCCAUCUUAACUGACAGGGAGGUGUGGCAAGUGGAGAUAUCAAACAAGUAAAUGAAAAUUACUUACAAAUAAACAAGUUUCGUGAAUUUGUUCAUUAUUUUUCCUGUCUCACGCACAUUGGCUGCCAAAUUGCUAGAAGCUGGCUAGCCAACCAGCUAGAUGAGUGAUAGAUUAGUCUAUGCCAAUCGUAAACCUAGAAUUUAAAAAAUCAUUCCAUUUUCUCUACUAUUUUGUCUAUUUAAUUUUUGAUCAUCUACAUCUAGGUAGUAUUCACUUAAGUAAGAAAAUUAUAAUAAGAAAAUUUGUUUCUAAAAAAAUCUGAAAAAUUCAUAUACAUUAUCAUAGGCUUUAAACAGACUUUUUCUCCCGUUGAAUCAUCAAAUUUCAAGCCAGCUCUGCGCUGAUGCCCAGCUGUGGUGGAGAAGAAAGAGUUUGCAUUUUGGGGUCCGACAGAUUUACUGGCUGUGUCAUCUUGGGCAAGUUACUUAGCCUUUCUGAUUCCAGUUUCUUCCUCUAUACAAUGUGUAUAAUACCAACAACCUCAAAGCAUUGUGUGAGAAUCAAACGACGUUGUGUAUAAAGCGCCUGGCAAGUGGAAGAUUCUCAGGAACUAAUAACGUACAUGAUUGACAGUAAAACAAGAUGGAGAAAGCCAAGAGGCAGUCCGAAAUGCCGCUGAAUCAAGCAUCAGUAUUUGCAUUAGGACUAAAUUUCUCACUUACUAACCUUGACCUUAAAAUAUACACUUGGCACCUCUGCCUUUGUUUCCUCAUCUGUAAAAUGGUAAUACUUUAUCCUUGUGUACCUCAAAGGAUUUUGAAGCUCAUUUUGAAGCUCAAGUGAGAUAAUAUUCCUGAGAGUGCAUGGAAGUUUGAAGUCCCAAACCUUUGGUUUGCAGUUUUAAAGAAAUAUAAAGAAAACUCUGAUUUACCACAAGGGGCUUUAUUGCUGAUUUGCUUCCACACUUUAAGGUUGAAAAUGACUUUAUACCAUGAGAGGAUCCUGUAGCUUAAAAAGUGCUAUUUUGGGUUGAAUCAUCUCGUGCCAUGUUUUACUCAUUCCACCUGCCUGGAGAACAGGACGAUGGGAAGAGUACACUUACGUCAAUGAAUGAGUGACAACAGUAAAUGGACAAAACUACAGUAUGGGGCUUACUUCAUGUUAUUUUUCUUCUGAAACUGGACAUAUGUUAGCCUCUCUUUUCAAACAGAGCAAAUAAGGGGGCUGGCCCCGUGGCCGAGUGGUUAAGUUCGCGCGCUCCGCUGCAGGCGGCCCAGUGUUUCA